GGCGAACGGGUGAGUAACACGUGGGUAAUCUGCCCUGCACUCUGGGAUAAGCUUGGGAAACUGGGUCUAAUACUGGAUAUGACCUUUCUCCUUAUGGGGUUUGGUGGAAAGUUUUCGGUGUAGGAUGAGCCCGCGGCCUAUCAGCUUGUUGUGGGGUGAUGGCCUACCAAGGCGACGACGGGUAGCCGGCCUGAGAGGGUGAUCGGCCACACUGGGACUGAGAUACGGCCCAG
rnacentral:rRNA from 1 species